AUAGGGGAGCCGUAGGGAAACCGAGUCUUAACCGGGCGUUAAGUUGCAGGGUAUAGACCCGAAACCCGGUGAUCUAGCCAUGGGCAGGUUGAAGGUUGGGUAACACUAACUGGAGGACCGAACCGACUAAUGUUGAAAAAUUAGCGGAUGACCUGUGGCUGGGGGUGAAAGGCCAAUCAAACCGGGAGAUAGCUGGUUCUCCCCGAAAGCUAUUUAGGUAGCGCCUCGUGAAUUCAUCUCCGGGGGUAGAGCACUGUUUCGGCUAGGGGGCCAUCCCGGCUUACCAACCCGAUGCAAACUGCGAAUACCGGAGAAUGUUAUCACGGGAGACACACGGCGGGUGCUAACGUCCGUCGUGAAGAGGGAAACAACCCAGACCGCCAGCUAAGGUCCCAAAGUCAUGGUUAAGUGGGAAACGAUGUGGGAAGGCCCAGACAGCCAGGAUGUUGGCUUAGAAGCAGCCAUCAUUUAAAGAAAGCGUAAUAGCUCACUGGUCGAGUCGGCCUGCGCGGAAGAUGUAACGGGGCUAAACCAUGCACCGAAGCUGCGGCAGCGACACUCAGGUGUUGUUGGGUAGGGGAGCGUUCUGUAAGCCUGUGAAGGUGGCCUGUGAGGGUUGCUGGAGGUAUCAGAAGUGCGAAUGCUGACAUAAGUAACGAUAAAGCGGGUGAAAAGCCCGCUCGCCGGAAGACCAAGGGUUCCUGUCCAACGUUAAUCGGGGCAGGGUGAGUCGACCCCUAAGGCGAGGCCGAAAGGCGUAGUCGAUGGGAAACGGGUUAAUAUUCCCGUACUUGGUGUUACUGCGAAGGGGGGACGGAGAAGGCUAUGUUGGCCGGGCGACGGUUGUCCCGGUUUAAGCGUGUAGGUGUGUGUUCCAGGUAAAUCCGGUUCACUUUAACACUGAGGCGUGACGACGAGGCACUACGGUGCUGAAGCAACAAAUGCCCUGCUUCCAGGAAAAGCCUCUAAGCAUCAGGUAACAUCAAAUCGUACCCCAAACCGACACAGGUGGUCAGGUAGAGAAUACCAAGGCGCUUGAGAGAACUCGGGUGAAGGAACUAGGCAAAAUGGUGCCGUAACUUCGGGAGAAGGCACGCUGACACGUAGGUGAAGUGAUUUACUCAUGGAGCUGAAGUCAGUCGAAGAUACCAGCUGGCUGCAACUGUUUAUUAAAAACACAGCACUGUGCAAACACGAAAGUGGACGUAUACGGUGUGACGCCUGCCCGGUGCCGGAAGGUUAAUUGAUGGGGUCAGCGCAAGCGAAGCUCCUGAUCGAAGCCCCGGUAAACGGCGGCCGUAACUAUAACGGUCCUAAGGUAGCGAAAUUCCUUGUCGGGUAAGUUCCGACCUGCACGAAUGGCGUAAUGAUGGCCAGGCUGUCUCCACCCGAGACUCAGUGAAAUUGAACUCGCUGUGAAGAUGCAGUGUACCCGCGGCAAGACGGAAAGACCCCGUGAACCUUUACUAUAGCUUGACACUGAACAUUGAGCCUUGAUGUGUAG
rnacentral:rRNA from 1 species